ACGAACGCUGGCGGCGUGCCUAAUACAUGCAAGUAGAACGCACAGUUUAUACCGUAGCUUGCUACACCAUAGACUGUGAGUUGCGAACGGGUGAGUAACGCGUAGGUAACCUGCCUGGUAGCGGGGGAUAACUAUUGGAAACGAUAGCUAAUACCGCAUAAUAUUAAUUAUUGCAUGAUAAUUAAUUGAAAGGUGCAAUUGCACCACUACCAGAUGGACCUGCGUUGUAUUAGCUAGUAGGUGAGGUAACGGCUCACCUAGGCGACGAUACAUAGCCGACCGCAGAGGGUGAUCGGCCACACUGGGACUGAGACACGGCCCAGACUCCUACGGGAGGCAGCAGUAGGGAAUCUUCGGCAAUGGACGAAAGUCUGACCGAGCAACGCCGCGUGAGUGAAGAAGGUUUUCGGAUCGUAAAGCUCUGUUGUAAGAGAAGAACGGGUGUGAGAGUGGAAAGUUCACACUGUGACGGUAUCUUACCAGAAAGGGACGGCUAACUACGUG
rnacentral:rRNA from 1 species